GGCCGCAUCCCCGGGGGCCCCGGCGCGCCGCGUGGGGGAGGGGAGACGCUCCUACAAAGUUCACCCGAAGUUAGGGGUCCGGUUCAGGGAUUGCCGGCAGUCGCCUCCUCAGGUGGGGAAACUCAGCCCCGAGGUCCCCACGACGUGCUGCGGACGCACGUGGGCCGUGAUCAGCCACGCACCCCGAGUCUCGGACAGUGCCCCCCGUGCGUGUUCCCCCAGUCGCCGCGGCACCAGCCGCCCGGACUCCAGAGCUCUCUACUCCGUUCAGCACUUUUCAUUCAAUCCCACCCCCCGUCACUUCCUUCAGAAAACAGAAACCACCAGGACCUGCCUUAAAGAGACCGCGCACCUCUUGGCCCUUAAAGGGACCGCGGUGGCCCAGAGAGGGGCGGGGAUUGGGGACCGCGGCUCAGCCGCUUUGUGGCCAACGCUGGCUUUCUUUGGGUCCCUCCCUCCCGCCGCGCCCCGUCACCGGCCAGGCCUUGUCCGGAGUUUGCGCUCGGGCAAAUCCCUUCUUCCCAUUAAGGGCGGGGCGGGUGACUCUUCCACCCGCUCCCCCCCACACACCCCUCUGGCUUGUUCUGGUGCCACGUGGAUGAAAUAAUCAGACUUGGAUUUUCAGGGGUUUUGCUUAGUCUUUUAGUUUCUCUGACACAGCGAAUUUCUCAAAUGCGGCUGGGGAAAAAAAUCAGGCCUCACCUCGCACUCUGUCUUUUCCUAGUCGGGAAGUGGAGUUGGGGGUUGAGAGCCAACUCAUCCAUCAGGUGUGAGCUGUUUUGGUGAGUGAGACCGACAAUCUGGAUGCGAUUUUCAAGGAGCACUUUGUGGGCCGUUAUGCAGUUUCCCUCUCCUGUGUUGAGUUGGCCUUCUCCAGUCCAGCCCACCUCCCAGGGCCCCUGCUCUUUCCGGGUCUGACUACACUUGACUGUGACCUCCCUCUUCUACUUCUUGGCUGUUGGAUUGUAGAACUGUGCUAUCGCAUGUGGGUCCUCCUUUCUUGUGUCAGGCUGGCUGACCUGUGAGCAUCUGGGUGAUUCUCCAGUCUGCCUCCCACCUUGCUGUAAGGAUGCUGGGAUUACGGAUAUGCUCCAUCACCUUGAACAUUUUUAUGUGGGUUUCCCAGGAUUGAACUCCGGUCACCAGAAAUCUUUUUAAGGAUACAGAAGAAGGACUUUCGCUCUUUGCCUAUUUGCUCUCACCUUGUUAGCAAGUCCAUUCCUUCACCGGCAUUAGCACCCACUUUGGAAUUCCAGCAUAACUGAAGAUCAGCUGAGGCAUCUGGCCUUGUGGACUGAGCAACUUCUGGAUUCUGGAACCUUCCCAUUCAUAGCCAGCCAUAGUUGGCUAAGCUGGAUAGUAGCCAGGUAUCGCUGGGGCCUGAUUAGUCACUGGAGAUGCGGAGGAUACUACAUGACAAGUGUGGUGAUGCUUCUGGUGUGAGUGAAGCUCAGGAGCGGGUGGUACCCCUUGGUGAGCUCAGCCGGGCUCACUGUUUUAUAAGAAGCAAACUCAGGAGAGUGGUCACUCUUCUUGUCAGAGCCAGGCUGUUGGCACAUGGAGAAAAACCACAAAUACCUGCCACUGUCUCUAGUUGCUGUGUGGUUGUUGAGCUCUUCCUGAUCCUGAGGAAGAAGAACCAAUAAGCCUCACUGUCUCCAGCUUACUUCUCCCUAUCUGACCCCAGCAUGUUCCCAGGAUUAUGUACUCAGGACAGUACUCCUUCAUUUUCCUGCAGGAGUUUUUGCUGAGAUGGGAUCGAGGGGCCCUGGGUCCUGGUAUGCAAUACAACCCCUGGCCAGACUUCAUCUGUAGGGAUGGAUUCAUACAACAUGGAGCUGCUCCUGCUUCUAAACAAAGAUCUGAGAACACGUAGGAACGGGAUUGUUUCCCAGAAGAGCAACAGCGAGGAGGGUGUCAGUCCCGCUGGCACAGGGCAGGCUCAAGAUUUGCUAAUUCAUCGCGAUGAAAUCCUGCAUCAAGGAGCAGGCAGCUGGGCUGACCCCUUUGCCCCUGUCUGAACCUGUUCCGAGCCCUGCCCUUGGCUUCCCACUGCCUCCCUAGGGUCCUCUCAGCUUCAGAAGCCAGGAAGGAGGAGGUGGGCUGAGGAGGAGAAGGGAUUGUCCCUUGAACUUUUCCCACCUCUCUUGACUCAUCAAAGGGGGCAGGUGUAGUUGGCCGCUGGAAAGAGUGGGGGCGGAAAAGAGAGGGAGAGAGCCACUCUGCAGGCUGGGAAAGAUGCAGAACUCUCAUUAACGUCUGACACCUCUAAUAAAAGCUGCAU